UCCGGUUAAUCGCAGGAUGUGCCUCCGACUGGCCAGGGUCCGAGCGCUCCCCACCUGGUCUGACAAAGUGCCAAGCAAGCCAAUCCAAGUUGCACCUUGCCUUCCAAGAAUAAUCCUUGCCUUCCAAGUUCCCACUUGCCUUCCAAGAAUAAAUCCUUGCCUUCCAAAUGUUCCCUUGCCGUCCAAGAAUAAAUCCUUACCUUCCAAGAGCCCCAUGUUUCGAACUCACGACCUCUGCUCUGCCAGGUUUGACAGCGUCCGUCCUUUACCAGUGGAGAAGUGCCCUGGGGGGC
rnacentral:lncRNA from 1 species